GGAGAAAGGGCUGCGUCUAUAGUUAGCAGAGACUGGAAAUACCAAAGCAGUCCACCUGAUUGCGAGAUUCAGCCACACUGGGGUUUCUUCUGACUCAGAGAUUCCAGACCUACUUAUGUUUUUCCUGCUAACUGGCCAGUGGUAUUUCAUCAAAGUCAUUCUCGCCACGGGCAU